rnacentral:rRNA from 1 species
GACGAACGCUGGCGGCGUGCCUAAUACAUGCAAGUAGAACGCACAGUUUAUACCGUAGCUUGCUACACCAUAGACUGUGAGUUGCGAACGGGUGAGUAACGCGUAGGUAACCUGCCUGGUAGCGGGGGAUAACUAUUGGAAACGAUAGCUAAUACCGCAUAAUAUUAAUUAUUGCAUGAUAAUUAAUUGAAAGGUGCAAUUGCACCACUACCUGAUGGACCUGCGUUGUAUUAGCUAGUAGGUGAGGUAACGGCUCACCUAGGCGACGAUACAUAGCCGACCGGAGAGGGUGAUCGGCCACACUGGGACUGAGACCCGGCCCAGACGCAUACAGGAGGCAGCAGUAGGGAAUCUGCGGCAAUGGGCGAAAGUCUGACCGAGCAACGCCGCGUGAGUGAAGAAGGUUGUCGGAUCGUAAAGCUCUGUUGUAAGAGAAGAACGGGUGUGAGAGUGGAAAGUUCACACUGUGACGGUAUCUUACCAGAAAGGGACGGCUAACUACGUG